UACGUAGGGUGCGAGCGUUGUCCGGAAUUAUUGGGCGUAAAGAGCUCGUAGGCGGUUUGUCGCGUCUGCCGUGAAAGUCCGGGGCUCAACUCCGGAUCUGCGGUGGGUACGGGCAGACUAGAGUGAUGUAGGGGAGACUGGAAUUCCUGGUGUAGCGGUGAAAUGCGCAGAUAUCAGGAGGAACACCGAUGGCGAAGGCGGUUCUCUGGGCAUUACCUGACGCUGAGGAGCGAAAGUGUGGGGAGCGAACAGG
rnacentral:rRNA from 1 species